rnacentral:rRNA from 1 species
AGAGUUUGAUCAUGGCUCAGGAUGAACGCUGGCGGCGUGCCUAAUACAUGCAAGUCGAACGAGGUGCCUUUGUAGCAAUACGAGGGUAUCCAAGUGGCGAACGGGUGAGUAACGCGUUGGUGACCUACCCCGGAGUGUGGGAUAACAGUCCGAAAGGACUGCUAAUACCGCAUGCGGUCAUCGGGUUUAGAAGCCGAUGUCCAAAGCAGCAAUGCGCUCUGGGAGGGACCUGCGUCCCAUCAGCUAGUUGGUAGGGUAACGGCCUACCAAGGCGACGACGGGUAGGGGACCUGAGAGGGUGACCCCCCACAAUGGAACUGAAAUACGGUCCAUACACCUACGGGUGGCAGCAGUAGGGAAUGUUGCACAAUGGGCGAAAGCCUGAUGCAGCAACGCCGCGUGCACGAUGAAGGUCUUCGGAUCGUAAAGUGCUUUUCUGGGAGAUGAGAAAGGACAGUAUCCCAGGAAUAAGUCUCGGCUAACUACGUGCCAGCAGCCGCGGUAAUUCA